GACAGAGGUGCCGAGCGUUAGGCGGAAUCACUGGGCUUAAAGCGUGUGUAGGCGGGCGGGCAAGUACCUUGUGAAAUCCCACGGCUCAACCGUGGAACUGCUGGGUAUACUGCCUGUCUUGAGCCAGCUAGGGGCGAGCGGAACAGACGGUGGAGCGGUGAAAUGCGUAGAUAUCGUUUGGAACGCCAAUGGUGAAAACAACUUGCUGGGGGUGUGCUGACGCUGAGACACGAAAGCCAGGGGAGCAAACGGG
rnacentral:rRNA from 1 species